rnacentral:rRNA from 1 species
AGUGAACGCUGGCGGUAGGCCUAACACAUGCAAGUCGAACGGCAGCACAGUAAGAGCUUGCUCUUACGGGUGGCGAGUGGCGGACGGGUGAGGAAUACAUCGGAAUCUACUUUUUCGUGGGGGAUGACGUAGGGAAACUUACGCUAAUACCGCAUACGACCUACGGGUGAAAGCAGGGGAUCUUCGGACCUUGCGCGAUUGAAUGAGCCGAUGUCGGAUUAGCUAGUUGGCGGGGUAAAGGCCCACCAAGGCGACGAUCCGUAGCUGGUCUGAGAGGAUGAUCAGCCACACUGGAACUGAGACACGGUCCAGACGCCUACGGGAGGCAGCAGUGGGGAAUAUUGGACAAUGGGCGCAAGCCUGAUCCAGCCAUACCGCGUGGGUGAAGAAGGCCUUCGGGUUGUAAAGCCCUUUUGUUGGGAAAGAAAAGCAGCAGGUUAAUACCCCGCUGUUCUGACGGUACCCAAAGAAUAAGCACCGGCUAACUUCGU